AGGGCUCAAGCUCAGGGCUGCAUGCUAAUGAUUUUCAAGUGUGGCCACUUCCUCUUGCCUGGCCUCACUCAUGCUGGCCGAUGCCCAGAGUGGCUGCAAUGGAAAUGUAAUGUGAAGAGAGGCCAGACCAGGACGGGGAGGCCCUGUUUGGGGUUGCAGUGGAGCAUGGUGAGGUCCCUCACCAGUAGCCCUGGACUACUGUGGCAGAGGAAGAGGGUGGAGGGGAGACCUUUGCCAGCAUUGCUCCGUGUGCUCAGCCAUUCUGGACAUUCUUGCUCCCCACACAGGUGCAUUAUUGUAAGUGGGUGACAAUAUGGGAACCUAGAGGUCCAGGAGGUGAAUGGACUUCCCUAAGAUCAUUUGGCUGCUUAGUGAUGGACGUAAAACCAGUGUUCAGGUCUCCAAACUGCACCCACCUGUAGAACAGUGGUCCUCAUACUUCACCGUGCAUCCAUGUGGCCUGGAGAGCUUGUUAAGAUGCAUGUUUCCUGACCACACCACCAGAAAGUCCCACUGAAUAGUGGGAUGAAGAACGUGUUUUCUUAACAAACCCUUCAGGGGAGUCAGAUGAUAGCAGUCUCCUCCAACAUCUUCUGAUGCGCUACCACAGUGCAGAGUGCAUUUUUUUCUUGGACCCAUAGGAAAAUGUAUUUGAAUUUCCUGAAGCUACAUCGGUUGCAGUGAGGGGAACAGGUAGAUGCAAACAGUUUGGAAGACGAAUGCAGGAGAGAUUAAAUCCAGGCUUUAGCACACAUUGCAGGAGUUUGUGGUGUGUCAGGAGACUUGGGAUGCAUACUCAUUGGCAGUGUUUCAGCACUAGCUGAAUACAUCCUGUUUUAAUGGUGAUCAUUAAAGGAGCCAAGGACUGAGAAAUGUCUAGCCAUUUUUGGAAGUUUCCAUACGGCUUUGCAGGUGGAAGGGGGCAUAAUCCUGGACAACCUUUAGGUCAUAUGUGACUCAGGGUUCCCAUCUAUAAAGUGCCUGACAGCAGAAGGUGACACCAGUAGAAGGAGAUAAUGUACUGAACUACACUGUCAGGAUGAUUAGAUGAUAAGAUGCGUGAGAAACACUUUGCCUAGCACCCACUAAAGGGCAGGUUCUCCAUUAUGCAUAAAUACUGGACCAGGCAAGGGCAAGUUUCUGCUUAAUGUCUUCAGUAACAAACUUCUGCUGAAGGUUCCACUUGAGGGAAGAGGUUCUGGUUCUACAGUGAAAGAAAGUGCACAGGUCCAUCCAUCCCAGAGGGGCUGGGACACACCCACCUUCUGGCAUUGUGGUAUGUGCCUAGUACAGUGGUGACUUUCUCUGGGCCUGGUCCACUCCUCCAUCCCUCCCGAUAUCUGUGCAUCUGGGUGAACUUCAGUGACCAGACUGGACAGGUCCUGUUGCUCUCCAUAUUCUAGUAGAGCUUCUCGGCCUUUUGGCUAAGAUCAAGUGUAGAAGUGGAGACUGAGGCCCCCAAGAGCAAAGGAAACUGGUUUUGGGGCCCCUGGGAACUCUUGCCCCUUCCCCUGACUAUCAGAUUUCAAGGCCAGGCUGAGGCCUGGCCCCACACUCCCUUAGGAGCUGGGCCUGCAGGCAAUCAGGAAACCAAUGCCUUGGCCAGCGUGCCACUGUUUGGUUCCGGCCAGGUUUGCUUCAAGUCGGGUCAGCCUGACCUCACCAGGGCUGUAAAAGCCAUCGUAGGCGCAGAGGGAAGAGAAAGGGAGCGAUCCUCGCCUCAUCUGGUUCUGCCAUCAGCCCAGUGAGGGAACAGGCUUGCUGUAGGAAGGAUGAGGGUGCUGUUCAUGUGCAUAGUAUGUGUGUAUUUGCACAUGCUUAGAGUGUGACUAUUUUCAAAACGCAGAUUCAGAGUUGAGUGAAGAGAGGAACCUGUUGAACGCCUGGGCUGGAUGAUGAGAGAGUGCGAAGAAAAUCCUGGAGAAGAUGUCUGUGCCCAUGGCUGUGAAGGGCCCAGGCUGAUGUGAAUGUGCUGCACUGGGCAAGUGAGUUGGUGUGUGUGGCAGCGGGCGCAUGCGGCACAUGGGCUGUGCGCUGGAGCGCGCUGUGUGUACGCCGCACAAGGAGAGAGCCCUGGUCCAGGAGUCUCACAGUCUGGGAUCAAGUCCCAGCUCAGCAGGCACUGAGCCCUGUGAACUUCAACCCCUGCACUAUCUGGAAGUGAGAAGCCGAGGUUUCUCCUGCUUCCCUGGCC
rnacentral:lncRNA from 1 species